CAAGAAGAGACCCUAACCGGUCCUCUCAACCCUGCCCAUCGUACCUUUGUGUUGUUCCCUCGGCGAGUGCUUCACGGCCCGCCGGCGGGAAGAUCAACGAAACUCUUUGCAAGCAAGCAUCCUGAAAUCUCUGAUCGAAUACAUAAUUGUCA
rnacentral:misc_RNA from 1 species